rnacentral:rRNA from 1 species
CAUCGCCUGAGGCUAGGAUCUUAGGUACUGCCUGCCCAAUGAUUUUCAAUGGCCGCAGUAUUUUGACUGUGCAAAGGUAGCAUAAUCACUUGUCUCUUAAUUGGAGGCUGGUAUGAAUGGCGUCACGUAGAGAAGUCUGUCCCUUUAGUGAAUCUUAAAUUAAUCUGUAAGUCAAAAAGCUUACAUAAACUCGCAGGACGAGAAGACCCCGUAGAUCUUUAUAAAUAUUAUCCCACUUAUAUUAGAAUUUAAAUUAGGUGUGAAUAAAAUUUUAUUUGGUUGGGGUGACAUGAAGUAAAUUAACACUUCAAAAUAAAACUUGAAUUAAAGGAUUAAGGAUCCGGUGCCCGAUUAAAAAUAUAAGUUACCUUGGGGAUAACAGCGUAAUCUAAUCUUAGAGUCCUUAUCAACGAUUAGGAUUGCGACCUCGAUGUUGGAUUAAGAUACAGCUUAAAUGCAGCAGUUUAAGUCUGGGGUCUGUUCGACCUUUAAAUUCUUACAUGAUCU